rnacentral:rRNA from 1 species
UAGGGAAUCUUCCGCAAUGGGCGAAAGCCUGACGGAGCAACGCCGCGUGAGUGAUGAAGGUCUUCGGAUCGUAAAACUCUGUCAUUAGGGAAGAACAAAUGUGUAAGUAACUAUUCACGUCUUGACGGUACCUAAUCAGAAAGCUACGGCUAACUACGUGCCAGCUGCCGCGGUAAUACGUAGGUGGCAAGCGUUAUCCUGAAUUAUUGGGCGUAAAGCGCGCGUAGGCGGUUUUUUAAGUCUGAUGUGAAAGGCCACGGCUCAACCGUGGAGUGUCAUUGGAAACUGGAAAACUUGAGUGCAGAAGAGGAAAGUGGAAUUCCAUGUGUAGCGUUGGAAUGCGCAGAGAUAUGGAGGAACACCAGUGGCGAAGUCGACUUUCUAUUCUGUAACUGACGCUGAUGUGCUAAAGCGUGGGAAUCAAACAGG